rnacentral:rRNA from 1 species
GUAGGUGGCAAGCGUUGUCCGGAAUUAUUGGGCGUAAAGCGCGCGCAGGCGGUUCUUUAAGUCUGAUGUGAAAGCCCACGGCUCAACCGUGGAGGGUCAUUGGAAACUGGAGAACUUGAGUACAGAAGAGGAAAGCGGAAUUCCACGUGUAGCGGUGAAAUGCGUAGAGAUGUGGAGGAACACCAGUGGCGAAGGCGGCUUUCUGGUCUGUAACUGACGCUGAGGCGUGAAAGCGUGGGGAGCAAACAGGGAUUAGAUACCCUGGUAGUCCACGCCGUAAACGAUGAGUGCUAAGUGUUAGGGGGUUUCCGCCCCCUUAGUGCUGCAGCUAACGCAUUAAGCACUCCGCCUGGGGAGUACGGCCGCAAGGCUG